UAGUCCACGCCGUAAACGAUGCUAACUGGUUGUUGGCGCUACAUUGUCAGCGACUGAGGGAAACCAUUAAGUUAGCCACCUGGGGAGUACGUCGGCAACGAUGAAACUCAAAGGAAUUGACGGGGGCCCGCACAAGCGGUGGAACAUGUGGUUUAAUUCGAUGAUACGCGAGGAACCUUACCUGGGCUUAAAUGUAGUGUGCAUUAGUGGGAAACCAUUAUUUCUCUUCGGAGACUUAUUACAAGGUGCUGCAUGGCUGUCGUCAGCUCGUGCCGUGAGGUGUCGGGUUAAGUCCCAUAACGAGCGCAACCCCUAUUCUUAGUUGCCAGCGAGUAAUGUCGGGGACUCUAAGGAGACUGCCAGCGUAUGCCGCGAGGAAGGUGGGGACGACGUCAAAUCAUCAUGGCCUUUAUGCCUAGGGCGACACACGUGCUACAAUGGUGCAUACAGAGGGUUGCGAAGCCGCGAGGUGGAGCUAAUCUCAGAAAGUGCAUCUC
rnacentral:rRNA from 1 species